AUCACAUGAUCUUUAUUUUUGAUUAUGAGAAAACAAAAUGUCAAAUUGAUAUGUGACGUUGGUCUUUUCUUGAUUGCAUCUGAGUAGUAGAUGGGAGUGUGCCAAUCAGAUUAGUCACACAGCAGGUCUUUUGAUGUUAAUACACACUGUUUUCAUUUGUGUCGAGUGGAGAUGUUUCUCUGUGCUUUGGAACGUUGUACUAUCCACGAUUCGUACUAUCCACGAUUCGAGCCCUCCUCAAUGGCCACCUGCAUGUUGAUACGUCUGGUUGAGUGGUCUUUCCAUCCAGCGCACAAUGUCAUCGCAUCCUCCUUCAGAAGCUGGAGAUCCUUGCCACCAAGUUAGCAGAAUGAUCCUGGUACGAAAAAAUAAUUGUACAUAAUUGGGUUGUGGCAUGUACUCCAUCCCUAUUCGGUCUGCAGAUGGAGCUGUGAGGGGAGCUGUGAGGACCUCACAAAAGCACAGGUUCUGAUGCCCGGGGAAGCCAAGCAGGUCCAACUUAGCCUGGAGCCACGCCCACGAUUUACUAAAAACGGUGUUCCUAAAAACGGUGUUCCUUAAUUCUUGGUAGUAGCAUCAUGUUCUAUUUAGAGUAGCCUAUAAAAACUUAACCGUCAUGGGCCAUGCCCGUAGAAUCACGUGCAAUCACAUGCAAUCACAUGCAAUUUAGUCUAGAAUUUUCCAAGCCAUGUUGCUAUGUUAAAAUUUCAUCUUACCGCACGAAGCUAUGGCUAGAUUGUUUACUUGUGCCGAUGUGCUUGAGGACAGCAAUGGCUCUGGUGAUGACAGUGCCUAUGAAGGAGAGGGAUACCUCCCAAAGGCUACCAGCUUUAUGCCAGACGCUGAUGAACUGUCUGGGACUGAGGACAUGCAUGACAUGGACCUAGACGCUAGUGCUAUGGACCAGGACGGUGAAAGACCAGGAGAGGGCUCACUGUGUGACUCUGGCAAGUAGUAUAGUAUAGCUAGAAUAUCAGUAGUGUAAGUAUAGUAUAGCUAAAAUAGCAGUCUUUAUGUGAGCUUGUAAAUUUCAUAGAUCGAGUAAUACAUGUACUUCAAAUUGAUAUAUCUUAGAGGCUGAUCCAUAAAAAAAAAAUUUUUGUCACCGCUGGCCGAGCAUUUAAACGGGUGAGUGUAGUAACCGUGGCAACAUGUGUUGCACCAUUUGUUGUAUGGGCAUUCUAUUGGUAUAUGGUUGCUAGGCCCGAUAGAGACAUUCAGACAUACUGUUAAUUAAGAAUCCGACGGUUAAAGGGUUAAUUGUUCACUUAUCUCACCUUUGGCCAAAGAAGUGGCUUGGAAAUGUCUACCUACUACACUCUAAAAAAGAUAAGUAGCUGCACUGAAUUUUUACACACAUAACAUAUUAAAAAUUGUGGUUUUAGCUGAUUUCCCACAGUCCUUAACCCUUUAACCGUCGGAUUCUUAAUUAACAGUGAAGUGUAAUUAAGUGUAAUUCUCUAUCGGGUUUCCAGCAAUAAUUACGCCCACCCGUUUUAAAUGCCUGGCGAUAAAUUUUUUUAUUGAUCAGCCUAUCAUAUCAUUAUUAAGGCCGGGUCUAGCCCAUACUGCGAUCCAAUGUUUUCUUUUUCCAAAAAACUAAUUAGCUUAAUUCCAUAAUUAGUAUGCGGACCUAAGAUCAAGCUUCAAAAACAAGAACAUCUCAUAGCUAAGUACUAGGAUCCAGCUGGGGAAGAGUAACUAGAGUGGCUAAAGCAUAUUAAUUUCCCCAGCUGGAAACAUAAUCAUGACAACCCUAUCUUUUAAGGGCCUAAACAAGUACUCUUACCCCCUAGUCCAGCAGCUAACUAAGCAAGUAGUCAUCUACAGCAAUGAAUAAAAUUAAUGUUAUCAGUUCCUGACCCAGGCCUGAAGUACCCAGAGAAGAUAAUAAUGACGACUAGUGCACUGCCUUGAAAGGAGUAUCUAGAGAGGUGCUAACAGGUAAGGCCAGCGUUGCACUUUGUUAGUGCAUCGUUCAUCUUUGAUUCUAAAUAAUUGACAUCUCAAUCUUGGCCAUUUCGAUAAGGGAAAUAUUUUGGGCCGAAUGUAAGACGCUGUGCCCAUGGUUAAGGCUAGUCGAAGAAUCAUGAAUAUUCAUGAUUCAAUCCCGUCAACUUCGGGUGCAGCAUGACGACUUUUCCAUCACACCCAGUGUAAUAUUGCUCUGUGACAUCCAUUGAGGAAUAAGAUGGUAACCAGAAGUCACCUAUGUACACAGAUGGUGGUCCUGACCACAACAACACUUUUCUUAGUGCUGUUGUUCCUGUUGUUCUUGUUCUGGCAAUAGCCGGUCUGCAGAUGCAGUGUCUACUUCAUUCCGUCUUCUCACGCUUGAAACCUAUCAGCUCGAUGCUAACGAAGACAAGAUGCAAGAAUUGUACACUUUGUUAGAGCCUGCGAUAACGAAGAAGUCUCUCCAGCAGACCUAAAUAAAUCACUGUUGAUGUUUGCAGUGAAGAAAUGUGGAAAACUUAUAAACCAAUUAGGAUGCCUAUCGAACUUUUCGAACUUUUUAACAGCAUCUUCCUGACCAGCAUUAUAAAUCGUUCUCGAGUGUGUAUGGAACUCUGACAACUGUGACAACUGUUAACGGUGCUGGCCCAUAGUAACAAUAGUAACAUACAUAGUAAUAAUAGUAACAACAAAUUGAUAACACCUUAACCACUGAUUCCACUGAUUGCAAACGCAAUGUUCAUUAUUCAGCAGCUUCGUCUAACACACUAAGCUGUGUACAACAGCUCGCAUGUACAUUGUACUACCGUACUUACCAAGCAACUACGGAUGACAAGAGUAUCCAGUUCCCUGAGUCAUAAUAGAUGCUGUCUCACGUCUUUCUGAAGAGAACAGUAUUCUCUUGAUACUGAGAGCCUAUCAUCUAACGGGAAUGUGUCACUUCAAUCGUUGCGGCACAGAAUAUUACUAAACUUGAAGUUCGUGCCACUUCCCAGAAGGAACAAUCACGUACUGUUCGAACCACUGCGCCAAAACACUGCACCAAAAAAGAGAAAGUUUGGGUGAGGCUCUGGUCAACUUCCAUCAUCACUACUGCACGAUAAGCUGAUGGAGGAGAGGUGGAGAUGGAGGAGAGGUGGAGGGUGGCUGCAUAUCCCCAGGACUGAAGUUGACAACCAACACAGUGGUAAGGGUUGGAUAUGUACACUAUACUUGUACUUGUACACUAUACAUCCUGCCGCAUACCACCAGCUGGUAAAAAACACGGUUGCAUAUCUAUUACAGGCAUCACCACCACUAUGCUUCGAGGCAGGUAGGAAAAAUACCUAUACUUUCAGGAUAGUACAAAAGACUUGAAUCUUACACAUGUCCUGAACUUGGAAACUAUAUACAGGGUUGCCAGGAAAUGUGCAGAUUUUAUGGGCCGAAAAACUGUACUAUUAUCUGAUAACAUUAUUACCAUGGUUACUAUCUUGAUAUGUGUGACUUACCUUAACAAUUGUUUUGAAAAUGCUUGUAGAAAGUUUACUAGAAACAAAGUCAUGUGAUUUGUAUUCUCCUUUGCUAACGACAUGUAAGAUCACACACAUACAAUUGUAGAUUACAGAUGAGACUCACCUUGCUCUUGAAGGUAAUUUUAUUCUUUCAUGACAUGAGUAACUGUUAUGACUCAGUCUCACGAAGAUCAGCCAAAAAACAGCUGGGCUCACAGAAGCAGUCUCAGUCUCAUCUUCGGUGUGAUGCCAAUAGCAUCACUGUAGCCCAGGCAAUCAACUUGGCCUGAGUCAACUUGGCCUGAGACCGAAGGGAGUGAACAGCAAGCUGUGCACUGCUAGAAUUCCUCACGACAAACGCAAGUCAUUGAGGGUAAGCGCUUCGGAUCUGGAGUUCCACGUGCAGGAGAGGGCCUAUAUAGUUUUGAUCCAUAUAUGGUCUAGAUUUUUCUAAACUGGGGAGCAGCUCACAUGCCUGAGGGCAUAAUCAUGCUGAGGCAUUGACGUCUUACAGGACAACGGAAACAAUAUUUUUUCUGACAAAGUUCAGCUGUCGAUAUCUAGCUCAUUGUGUCAUGUUAAUUCUUAUGUUAAUUCUGUUAUAGACCAAUUGCCUCCUGACAACAAACAUUGAAAGUCAGUUUCAAGAGCCGGAGCAUCUCGGAGCAGCAUCCACAACAGCAGCAUCCACAACUGACUGUUUUUCAUUGAGACUGUGACCCGUUUUUUUAUUACACCAGCUUGCAGCCCCCUGAUAUUUUGCCACCCCUGCAAUAUGCCUGUCGAUCAUCCAGACCACAACUACUUGUAUAAUUGUCAUCAUCCCCUCGUAUUUAUAACGUCUUCAUUAUUAAUUAUUAAUCAUUAUUAAUAAUUAUAACUUUUUUUGCAAAAUUAAUUUCAAC